GCGGGCAUAGUUCAGUGGUAGAAUACCAGCUUCCCAAGCUGGCUAUGCGGGUUCGAUUCCCGCUGCCCGCU
rnacentral:tRNA from 1 species